rnacentral:lncRNA from 1 species
AUAUAUAAUUUCUCCUUCCCUCAAGACUGAGAUACACGGUGUGUGUGCUCUGCUUCAUUAGGAUCCAUUCUACAUGAUCAACUCAGCUUUCCAUAUGGAGUUCAGUGAGGAGGAAGAAAACACGGUCAUCUCAUCGCUGGCCAGAAUUCCAAACCUGGACCUCUUCAUCAUUGAACUGCAUGAUGUCAUCAUGAAUAUUGAAACCAAAGACAUUAAACCAGUCUGGCAGAUCAGGGCUACAUUUGAAGCCUUCCUUCUAUAUGAGAAGCAGCUGAAAGAGAACAGUGUUAGCAGCCUUUGGAUUCACCUUGCAGAGGACCUGGAGAUGAAACAAGUAGUUUCUUUAUGGAAGCUUGCUGUGAAAAGAAGAAACCAGAACAUCUAAAUAUCUCUGUUUUACCCUUAUAGCAUUUCAACAGUACAAUUAGAUCAAUUUAUGAGUCAUUAUAAAACAUUUCUUUUGAGUCAGCAAAGUGAAACGGGUGUUUCUGUAUAAAUUGUUUUUAGAUCAAAUAUAUUUCUGCUUACCAUUAUUUUUAGUAAAUAAGUACAUUGUUACUCAUCAUUUAAUACAUAACUGUCUAAUGAAAAACAGCAACUUUAGAAAUGACAGAUAAAACCAUAACUUAAUUUUGGACAUUUCUAUUGGUCCAGAAUUAUUUAUCAGUGUAAAAUACACACUUUGUGUUCAAAUUGUGUACUGAACUAACCAUUGUCAAAGAGCAGAAACGCUUCUUUUUCAUUGGACAGCAAUUAAUUAAUAUUCUUCAUCACAAUGACCAAAUGUCAAACACAAGAGCAUUUACAUUUAUCUUAGUUAAUUAUUCACUUUUUAUUGUUUUCUGCUUUGCCCAAUGUAAGGCAUCCACAUUAAACCAUUGCUUUUUUAAAAUAUGUUUAUAUAUAAACAUUUGAUCUUCAUUUGAACAGGUUGUUUGUGAUGAAAAAGUUAAAACACCCUUUGUUAUAAGAUUUCUUGAACUGUCUACAACUCUUCGGCAUUGACUGGGAGAAUGGUUUUCCCACUCUUCCAACUGGAAUUGUGUUGUUUCAGCUUCUAUUUUUGUACAUAUGUCAUAUCUCAUCAUCUUAAUGUCAACAACUUUAUGUCCCUGACAUGUGCCUUUUUUAAUCCACUGCCACCAACAGUGUAAACUGUAAUAUUCGCACAACCUCUAAGGCAGUCAGUACACUGAUAAGACCAUCCUGCUUCCCGGAGCCCCCUCCUGACCCCUCUCAAACUCGUCCAACUGCUGGAAUUGAUUUUGAACUCUUAUUCGAGGCAAACCUCACAUGCAAUGAUGCUAUUAACACAGUUGUUCAAUGAAAAGCAUGCAACAGGAUGGCCUUAUAUAGUCCGUCAGGUACAGCAAUAAAACCCCUCCUUGCUUAAGUCA